UGGGGAAUAUUGCACAAUGGGCGCAAGCCUGAUGCAGCCAUGCCGCGUGUGUGAAGAAGGCCUUCGGGUUGUAAAGCACUUUCAGCGAGGAGGAAGGGUGGUGUGUUAAUAGCACAUCACAUUGACGUUACUCGCAGAAGAAGCACCGGCUAACUCCGUGCCAGCAGCCGCGGUAAUACGGAGGGUGCAAGCGUUAAUCGGAAUUACAGGGCGUAAAGCGCACGCAGGCGGUUUGUUAAGUCAGAUGUGAAAUCCCCGCGCUUAACGUGGGAACUGCAUUUGAAACUGGCAAGCUAGAGUCUUGUAGAGGGGGGUAGAAUUCCAGGUGUAGCGGUGAAAUGCGUAGAGAUCUGGAGGAAUACCGGUGGCGAAGGCGGCCCCCUGGACAAAGACUGACGCUCAGGUGCGAAAGCGUGGGGAGCAAACA
rnacentral:rRNA from 1 species